UGGUAAAUCUCGUGCCAGCCACCGCGGUUAUACGAGCGACACAAAUUAAUACUUCACGGCGUUAAGGGUGAUUAGAGAUAAUCUUAUACUAAAUAAAGUUAAGACCCCAUCAAGCUGUCAUACGCUUCUAUGCUUAAAAAUAUCACUCACGAAAGUAACUUUACACAAACAGAAUUUUUGACCUCACGACAGUUAAGACC
rnacentral:rRNA from 1 species